GAUGAACGCUGGCGGCGUGCCUAAUACAUGCAAGUCGAGCGAACGGACGAGAAGCUUGCUUCUCUGAUGUUAGCGGCGGACGGGUGAGUAACACGUGGAUAACCUACCUAUAAGACUGGGAUAACUUCGGGAAACCGGAGCUAAUACCGGAUGAUAUUUUGAACCGCAUGGUUCAAAAGUGAAAGACGGUCUUGCUGUCACUUAUAGAUGGAUCCGCGCUGCAUUAGCUAGUUGGUAAGGUAACGGCUUACCAAGGCAACGAUGCAUAGCCGACCUGAGAGGGUGAUCGGCCACACUGGAACUGAGACACGGUCCAGACGCCUACGGGAGGCAGCAGUAGGGAAUCUGCCGCAAUGGGCGAAUGCCUGACGGAGCAACGCCGCGGGAGUGAUGAAGGUCUUCGGAUCGUAAAACUCUGUUAUUAGGGAAGAACAUAUGUGUAAGUAACUGUGCACAUCUUGACGGUACCUAAGCAGAAAGCCACGGCUAACUACGU
rnacentral:rRNA from 1 species